ensembl:misc_RNA Y_RNA Y RNA
GGCUGGUCUGAGUACAGUGGUGUUUAUAAGAAAUUAAUCAUACCCAGUUACAGAUUCCUUUGUUCCUUCUCCACUCCCACUGCUACACUUGACUAGCCUUAA